rnacentral:rRNA from 1 species
AACGAACGCUGGCGGCAUGCCUAACACAUGCAAGUCGAACGAGACCUUCGGGUCUAGUGGCGCACGGGUGCGUAACGCGUGGGAACCUGCCCUUAGGUUCGGAAUAACUCCCCGAAAGGGGUGCUAAUACCGGAUAAUGUCUUCGGACCAAAGAUUUAUCGCCUUUGGAUGGGCCCGCGUUGGAUUAGCUAGUUGGUAGGGUAAAAGCCUACCAAGGCGACGAUCCAUAGCUGGUCUGAGAGGAUGAUCAGCCACACUGGGACUGAGACACGGCCCAGACUCCGACGGGAGGCAGCAGUGGGGAAUAAUGGACAAUGGGCGAAAGCCUAAGCCAGCAAGGCCGCGUGAGUGAUGAAGGCCGUAGGGUUGUAAAGCUCUUUUACCCGGGAUGAUAAUGACAGUACCGGGAGAAUAAGCGCCGGCUAACUCCGU